AUGAGGGUCCUUUCGUUGACUCGCACACCUGAGGAUACAUCCAUUACAGAGGUGAUAGACCAGAUUUGGCCUAUGGGAUGUUGUUUGCCAGUGCUUGUCUUAGAAGAUUUCAACCACUUUCCCCCUACAACUUUCUCUCCCAAAUCAAUAUGGUCAUUUGUCAUUAAACAGUUACUCAGAAGGAAAGUAUCAACAGCACAAGGACAUUUCAUUUGAAUUUUCUCUUGGACCUCCUACAUCAGAAUCAACAGGAGUAUUACUAAAAAACAGUGAUAACUUGGCUCCCCCCAAAUCUUAGUUAACUAGAGAGGUGGGACUCAGGAAUCUGCUCGUUGGCAAAGAUUCCAGCAGAUUCUUGUAUACUAUAAAACUUGAGAAUCAAUGAUUUAGGGAUUCUGUUCUGACACUAGCUUCAAUAGUCAAGAUUUUAAAAUUAAAAUUACAUAAACUUUAUAGUUCAUUUUAAUCCAUAAUUUCUGGCACUUCACUGUUUUAUUGUAUUAAAAUAUUGUAUUACUAAUCUCUUAAAG
rnacentral:lncRNA from 1 species